UACGUAGGGGGCUAGCGUUGUCCGGAAUCAUUGGGCGUAAAGCGCGUGUAGGCGGUCCGGUAAGUCCGCUGUGAAAGUCGGGGGCUCAACCCUCGAAUGCCGGUGGAUACUGGCGGGCUAGAGUGCGGAAGAGGCGAGUGGAAUUCCUGGUGUAGCGGUGGAAUGCGCAGAUAUUGGGAGGAACACCUAUGGCGAAGGCAGCUCUCUGGUACGAGACUGACGCUGAGACGCGAAAGCGUGGGGAGCGAACAGG
rnacentral:rRNA from 1 species